GAUGAAGAACGCAGCGAAAUGCGAUAAGUAAUGUGAAUUGCAGAAUUCAGUGAAUCAUCGAGUCUUUGAUCGCACAUUGCGCCCCCUGGUAUUCCGGGGGGCAUGCCUGUCCGAGCGUCAUUGCUGCCCUCAAGCACGGCUUGUGUGUUGGGCCCCCGUCCCCGGUUCUCCCCGGGGACGGGCCCGAAAGGCAGCGGCGGCACCGCGUCCGAUCCUCGAGCGUAUGGGGCUUUGUCACCCGCUCUGUAGGCCCGGCCGGCGCCAGCCGACACCCCAACUUUAUUUUCUAAGGUUGACCUCGGAUCAGGUAGGGAUACCCGCUGAACUUAAGCAUAUCAAUAAGCGGAGGA
rnacentral:misc_RNA from 1 species